UAACGAAGGGGGCUAGCGUUGUUCGGAAUCACUGGGCGUAAAGGGGCGCGUAGGCGGCUUUAUAAGUCGGGGGUGAAAGCCUGUGGCUCAACCCACAGAAUUGCCUUCGAUACUGUAGAGCUUGAGACCGGAAGAGGUAAGUGGAACUGCGAGUGUAGGAGGUGAAAUUUCGUAGAUAUUCGCAAAGAACACCAGUGGCGAAGGCGGCUCACUGGCCCGAUACUGACGCUGAGGUGCG
rnacentral:rRNA from 1 species